UACGGAGGGUGCGAGCGUUGUCCGGAAUUAUUGGGCGUAAAGGGCUCGUAGGCGGUCUGUUGCGUCAGGAGUGAAAAAUCGGGGCUUAACCCCGAGCCUGCUUCUGAUACGGGGCAGACUAGAGGUAUGCAGGGGGAGAACGAAUUCCUGGUGUAGCGGGUGAAAAAUGCGCAAGAUUAUCAGGGAGGAAACACCCGGUGGCGAAAAGGGCGGGUUUCUCUGGGGCAUUACCCUUACGCUGAGGGAGCGAAAAAGUGUGGGGGGGAGCGAAACAGGAUU
rnacentral:rRNA from 1 species